rnacentral:snoRNA from 1 species
AGCCUCCGACUGUGAACCACAGGCUGUGUUCUUGUACUGACUACAGAAAGAGGAGGCGCAGUGAGCCGGCCCCAUGCACACCUCAGCCGAGGCCACUUGCUCCAUAUUGUGAAUGAGGAGACAUAG